ACGAGUUUUGAAAUGGGUUGUAGCUGGCCUCAAUGAAAGGCAUGUGCACGCCCUGCUCAUCCACUCUCAUACCCCUGUGCACUUACUGUAGGCUAGGUGGGAUGAACCCCGAUCGCAAGGUUAGGGUUUUGAAAGCCUUGUCUAUGUUUUACUACAAACGAUUCAGUUAUAGAAUGUUACAUUAGCGUUUAACGCAAUAAAUA
rnacentral:misc_RNA from 1 species